CCUACGGGCGGCAGCAGUGGGGAAUAUUGGACAAUGGGCGAAAGCCUGAUCCAGCCAUGCCGCGUGUGUGAAGAAGGCCUUCGGGUUGUAAAGCACUUUCAGUGGGGAAGAAAGCCUUGGGGCUAAUACCCUCGAGGAAGGACAUCACCCACAGAAGAAGCACCGGCUAACUCCGUGCCAGCAGCCGCGGUAAUACGGAGGGUGCGAGCGUUAAUCGGAAUUACUGGGCGUAAAGCGCGCGUAGGCGGUCUGAUAAGCCGGUUGUGAAAGCCCCGGGCUCAACCUGGGAACGGCAUCCGGAACUGUCAGGCUAGAGGGCAGGAGAGGAAGGUAGAAUUCCCGGUGUAGCGGUGAAAUGCGUAGAGAUCGGGAGGAAUACCAGUGGCGAAGGCGGCCUUCUGGACUGACACUGACGCUGAGGUGCGAAAGCGUGGGUAGCAAACAGGAUUAGAUCCCCUAGUAGUC
rnacentral:rRNA from 1 species